GUGAGCUGGCGGACGGCCUUCGAGCGCCACGCUCUCCGCGGGCGCUUGAGGAAACUCCGCCCACCGCACAGCCCGCAACGCCGCAAGGCGUGGGGCGAGAGCCUCGGCUCCGGAACAGAAACGGAACGCCCACUAGGCCCGUGACGUUGAGGCGUGCUAAGUCGCCGAGUAGGCUUGGUGGGAGCGGUGAAACGGCCGUCCUGCGGGGUGAAAGGGCGAGUAGGCGCCUAUGAGUACUGUGUGAGGCGCGGGUAGCCCGUUUAGCCGAAUGCCGUCUAAAACAGAAGGCGGGUUACGGCCAGCACAC
rnacentral:RNase_P_RNA from 1 species